UGUGGCCUAUUCACUUAAUGGGUCAAAUCAGAUCAAACAAGUGAAAGAGGUUUUUAAUGAAUUCAAUGGAUUUAAAACUGGUUUAGUAGAUGGGAUUAAACAUGUUUGAAAUGGAUUAAGUAGAUUCUAAAUGGAAUUAACAAGUCUUAAAUAGAUUAAAUGGAUAAUUUGGUCUAAUUAUUAAAGAUGUUAAACUAGUAAAAUGGAUAGAGGUCUAAAUCUGAACAAAUAUAUUUAAU
rnacentral:lncRNA from 1 species